rnacentral:misc_RNA from 1 species
CAAACUUUUUAAGCCUAUACUGGAAAUUUAGUGCAUCACAACAUAUAUGCUAUUUUGCAAUACAGACGAAUAGAUAAUUAAAAGUAGAUACGAACGGAGAUAAGACAAAUUUACUUAUUAUUUGUAAAGCAUGAUAUCAUUAUAUAGAAAAUUACUUUAUUCUAUAAUUGUCUUACUGUUCGUAACGAGUUUAUCGAUUAGUUUACUGAUGACGUUUAUGCACGAAAAAUUAUUAAAAACUGGAUAUAUCUCCUCUAAAGCCGAAACAUCGUCUGUAGCCGGAUUCAAGUUAACAGAUAAAAUAGAAUUAAAUAAAAUAAACAAGAAAUACGAAGAAUCUUGUGGAAGAUUUUUAAAAGAUAUACAAAUAUUGGAUAGUUGCCCUUGUCUAUCGAAUAAAUUAGUUGGCAGAAGAAAAGCGCUUGUUGUUCCCAGAAACUGGUCAGAUAUAGAGAUCGCAUUUAAAGGAACUCUCCAAACAAAUGGCGAAUUUAGGCCCCAUUGCAACAAAUGGCAGACUAUCGCUAUAAUAAUACCUUUUAUGAAAAGAGAAAUGCAUUUACGAUUGUUCAUCGAUCAUAUUCAUCCGAUAUUACAAGCCCAACAAAUACAUUAUAGAAUAUUUGUUAUUGAACAAAAUCAACCAAAUAUAUUCAACAAAGGUACAUUGAUGAAUAGUGGAUAUUUAGAAGCUAAGAAACAUUUUCAAUUUGAUUGUGUGAUCUUUCAUGACGUUGAUAUGUUAUCUGAAGAUGACAGGAAUAUUUAUAAUUGUAUAGAUUCUCCUAGGCAUAUUGGAAGUCACGUAGAUAUUUUUCAAUAUAGAUUGUUUUAUGAUAAAUUGGUGGGUGGCGCUUUGGCCUUUGAGAUAAAAGAAUUUGAGAAUAUUAAUGGGUAUUCUACAAAAUUUUUCGGUUGGGGAGGAGAAGAUGAUGAUAUGUACAAUAGGCUCUUUUACAAAGGACUCAAAAUAACCAGAUACGAUGAACAGUUUUCAAAAUUUCGUAUGAUUCAACAUAAUAGGGAUGCUCAAAAUCCUAAUAAUAUUUAUAAGUUUAAUUCAUUUUAUCCGAAUCCGUCCCAUUACAACACCGACGGAUUGUCAUCAACGUAUUACAAAGUUGUUUCCGUUAAAGAGGGUCCUCUAUUUACAAGUAUUAAAUUAAACUUAGAAGUUGCUCAAAAUACCGAAUAUACAAACGAAGAAUUCGAAAUAUCAAGGAAGCCAAUUGAAAGAAAUACAAGUGUUGAGAAUGAAGAACAAUGCGCUGUUGAUUGCUACAGAAAGCCGAUUUGUUAUGGUUAUAAUUUUAUGGGCAAAAAAUGUUAUUUAUGGAGUAAUCAUAUUCUCAAUUCAACUAAAACUCAGUUUAAGACUUUAAAACGGAAGAUAGCGAAUGAACAACUGCUAUUAGUGGACUAUCAAAGAUUUGACGGUUUAUGCAAAGGAGAGUCAUCUAUUUAUCGGCAGAUGUCGCCAACAGAGUGCUCUAGGACUUGUAAAAAUGACGCUACCUGUCGGCUAUUUUCUUACAACUAUAACGAGGACGCAGUAGAACCUUGUUUAAAGAUUGAUAAUUCAAAUUGUUCGAAGUCUAAUUUGCAUAAGUUAGAUAAUAUAUUCACCUACUUUAAAAAGAAUUUAAGUUAAUAUUUUAUUGAUUUUUGCUCAAACUACAUCAAUUAGUGUUGUUCUUUUAUUAUUAUCUUUAGAUAAAGUUAGAUUUAAUGACGUGAACUUUUCGAUAAAAAAUGGUGAUUGUUUUCAAGAGGAUAUAGCUUCCAUCAGAGAUUUUCCAGCAGAUGAAUGUUCAGGUGAAAAGAAAAAAAACAGCAGACCUCUAAAAAUAUGAAUAUUAUAUGUCAUACUGUUUUCAAGCUAUAUUUAAAUAAAGUAUACACGUUUCUUUUUUUUUUCUUUCCAGUAAAAUGUAAAGAAACUAAAGAAUGUGAAGGAUACGUUAUAUCCUAUCAGAGUUGUUAUCUAAAGAAGAAAAUCCGAGAAUGUGUACCAAAAUCCUCUACAUUCUCUUAUGUAAUGAAAAACUCGACACUCGAAGAAAUAGAUAUGAAUAAAAUAUUAUCUCAAGGGGAUUAAAACAAGAAGUAUUGUAGAUAUUGUUGAAGAAAACGGCAAGAAGAGAAGAUUGAGAGAAAGAAAGAAAGAAAAAAGGAAAAAAGAAAUUUUUAUCCCUUGUAUAGAAAUAAAAAAACGAAAAGAGACUGUAUCAAAUGAACGAGUUAUUCGUUGUUAUUAAAUUUAUUUCUUAUUAUUAUCAUUAUGACAAAGCUUUGCUUUGGUUAGCUUUAACCUUAUUAAUUAAUUAAGUAUAUAAAUAGUUAGCAAUUAGUCAUCUUUCCAUGUUAAAAAUAGCUUAUAUAAACAUUUGAAGUAAAACAUUUCGAUUAUUCUAAACCUUUCGGGAAUUUUAGUAAGGUUCAUUUAACUUGAAAUUCUCUACAGUAUCCUUUUCUUGUUGACUCUGCAGCUUUUCUAGUAAUAACUAAUUAAUUAGCAAUAAUUCUAAGCAGUUGGAUGUUUUUGUAGAA